rnacentral:misc_RNA from 1 species
UCAAACUUGGUCAUUUAGAGGAAGUAAAAGUCGUAACAAGGUAACCGUAGGUGAACCUGCGGUUGGAUCAUUAGUGAAUAUUAUCCAAUAACACAAACACAUGUGAACCUAUUCUGGUCUAUUUUGGUCGUCUGUGCCGCAUGGUGCGGUGUGAUGGUUGUGUGGGUUAUUAUUCUCCCAUGCUUCCUUCUUUUUCGCACCUUGCCGGGCGGCCAAACACGAGAAACACCCUAAACGUUUUCUACAUGUGGGAAUGUUUUAUAUAAAAAAAACAAAAACAACUUUUGACAACGGAUCUCUUGGCUCUCGCAUCGAUGAAGAACGCAGC